GACAGAGGUGCCGAGCGUUAGGCGGAAUCACUGGGCUUAAAGCGUGUGUAGGCGGGUCGUUAAGUGUCUUGUGAAAUCCCCCGGCUCAACCGGGGAAUGGCUGGGCAUACUGGCGAUCUUGAGCAGUCUAGGGGCAGAUGGAACAAGUGGUGGAGCGGUGAAAUGCGUAGAUAUCAUUUGGAACGCCAAGGGCGAAAGCAGGCAGCUGGGGUUGUGCCGACGCUGAGACACGAAAGCCAGGGGAGCGAACGGG
rnacentral:rRNA from 1 species